rnacentral:rRNA from 1 species
AUUGAACGCUGGCGGCAGGCUUAACACAUGCAAGUCGAGCGGAGAUGAGGUGCUUGCACCUUAUCUUAGCGGCGGACGGGUGAGUUAUGCUUAGGAAUCUGCCUAUUAGCGGGGGACAACAUUCCGAAAGGAAUGCUAAUACCGCAUACGCCCUACGGGGGAAAGCAGGGGAUCUUCGGACCUUGCGCUAAUAGAUGAGCCUAAGUCGGAUUAGCUAGUUGGUGGGGUAAAGGCCUACCAAGGCGACGAUCUGUAGCGGGUCUGAGAGGAUGAUCCGCCACACUGGGACUGAAACACGGCCCAGACUCCUACGGGAGGCAGCAGUGGGGAAUAUUGGACAAUGGGCGGAAGCCUGAUCCAGCCAUGCCGCGUGUGUGAAGAAGGCCUUUUGGUUGUAAAGCACUUUAAGCGAGGAGGAGGCUACCUGGAUUAAUACUCUAGGAUAGUGGACGUUACUCGCAGAAUAAGCACCGGCUAACUCUGUGCCAGCCGCCGCGGUAAUAC